rnacentral:rRNA from 1 species
UGCUUUCGAUAGGCGUCGACCGGCGCACGGGUGAGUAACGCGUAUCCAACCUGCCCAUAACUAAGGGAUAAUCCGUAGAAAUGCGGUCUAAUACCUUAUGUGAUCCGAGGAAGACAUCUGAUUUGGAUUAAAGAUUUAUCGGUUAUGGAUGGGGAUGCGUCUGAUUAGAUUGUUGGCGGGGCAACGGCCCACCAAGUCUGCGAUCAGUAGGGGUUCUGAGAGGAAGGUCCCCCACAUUGGAACUGAGACACGGUCCAAACUCCUACGGGAGGCAGCAGUGAGGAAUAUUGGUCAAUGGGCGUAAGCCUGAACCAGCCAAGUAGCGUGCAGGACGACGGCCCUAUGGGUUGUAAACUGCUUUUGUAUGGGGAUAAAUUGCUCCACGAGUGGAGUAUUGCAGGUACCAUACGAAUAAGGACCGGCUAAUUCCGUGCCAGCAGCCGCGGUAAUACGGAAGGUCCGGGCGUUAUCCGGAUUUAUUGGGUUUAAAGGGAGCGUAGGCCGUGGAUUAAGUGUGUUGUGAAAUGUAGGCGCUCAACGUCUGACUUGCAGCGCAUACUGGUCCACUUGAGUGCGCACAACGCGGGCGGAAUUUGUCGUGUAGCGGUGAAAUGCUUAGAUAUGACGAAGAACCCCGAUUGCGAAGGCAGCUCGCGGGAGCGCAACUGACGCUGAAGCUCGAAAGUGCGGGUAUCGAACAGGAUUAGAUACCCUGGUAGUCCGCACGGUAAACGAUGGAUGCCCGCUUUUCGGUCAUUAGACCGUGAGGCCAAGUGAAAACAUUAAGCAUCCCACCUGGG